rnacentral:misc_RNA from 1 species
UGUCAGUGUCAUAAUUUCUGUUUGUCACCUCUGUUCAAUAGUCCUUCACAGGUUGUGAAUUUAUAAAAACAAAUAACUAUUUACUAAAUAAUUAAUCAACUGUGCCAUAUAAUUUGAAUGAAAUGACUCAAAUCGCCCCCGUAGUUAAGAAUCUUAUUUACGCUGGACAAAAAUAUAUUCCUAUUGCCAAUGGGAGUAAGGUUCAUUUUCAUUUCCAAACAUGGAAACUUGGGAAGGAGAGAGUUCUGCUGGACGAUAGCAGAAAGAUAGGGAAGAAAGAGCCCAUGGUUUUGGUGAUAGGGCAUAAGUUCAAACUGGAAGUAUGGGAGACUAUAGUCAAGAUGAUGGCAGUCGGAGAAGUGUCCAGCUUCAAAGUUCAGAAAGAGCUAGUCUUUAGUUACCCCUUCAUAUCAAAAACCCUGCGUGAACUGGGACAGGACCCUCGCAGGGUGAAGCACUCAUGUACCAUGACUUUGCACACUGAGGGGCUUGGCCAUGCAGACCUGGAUGACUUGAUGAAGAACCCCUGCGAUUUGGAGUUUAUUAUAGAAAUACUGAAAGUGGAAAGAUCAGAUGAAUAUGAAAAAGAGUUGUGGCAGCUGAAUGCCAAAGAGCGAACGGAUUUGAUACCCAUGCUCAGAGAAAAAGGCAACAAACUUUAUGUGCAGAAGAAGUAUAAAGAGGCUGAGGAGGCUUACCAUGAGGCUCUGGGCAUUUGUGAACAGCUUAUGAUCAGGGAAAGAAAAGGAGAUGAAGAAUGGGCAGAUUUAAAUAAAAUAAAAUUACCCAUCCUACUCAACUAUGCACAAUGCAAGCUGCUUAAUGGAGAAUAUUAUGCAGUCAUAGAACAUUGCAACACUGUCCUAGAAUUUGAAAAAGAUAAUGAAAAAGCAUUAUACAGAAGAGGUAAAGCGCACGUCGGCGCUUGGAACCCCGAUGACGCAGAAGACGAUUUCAAAAGAUUAAAAUCUUUAAAUCCGUCCAUGGCCACCACUGUAGAUAAAGAACUGGAAAACAUAAAGAGGUUACGAAAAGAAAAGGAGGACCAGGAUAAAGAUGCGCUUAAAAAUAUGUUCGUGAAAAAUGGGACCAUGUAGCAGUAAGGGUCAUUGAACUUAGUCCUAUAUGGACCAACUAAGGGUCUCCCCACAUUUUUCGACGCGGAAUCGGAUUAAGCCGAGUGCGUAUCUCCACACUGCUCGACUUAUCGUUGACCAGCUAGACAAACGGCUCAUUUCGCUGUUGGCCGAUAUCGCGACGCGCCGUCCUAGCCAAGCCGAUGCGAAUGGUAUUGGUAACACCCUUAUUACGUUGUCUACGUAAAGGCUUUUUUGAUGAUGGUGUUAGCCGAUUCGCGUCGAUAAAUGUGGGGAGAUCCUAAGUGACGUAGGUAUACGGUAGUGACGUAAACUUCCAAAACCCAUUGUGACGUAACCCAAAAGGGCACUGGGAUUUCUUGUAAUGUAGCAUUACUUGUGAAGUAGUUUUUAUGAAGUUUCACUCUUUUUCUCCAAGAAUUAAUCUAGUGAAAUAAUGAGAUUUUAGGUUCAUUGGAUGUUUUGAAAGAGACAUUUCUAAUAGAAGUCAGUACAAUAAUUAAAGAGUAAUAAUAUGUAUUGGUAUAUGUUUGUCUAUGGUUUAUUUUCUUGGAGAAAAAAUAGUCUUGGCCUCUCGGCUAGACAGUCCAAUGUAUUAUUGCUAUUUUUGAUACUUAAGUAGGUAUUCCUAGGAAAACUGAAUUGUAUAAUUAUUUUCUAUAAUUGUUUUUGGACCUGCACAAUUUAUUUAUAAAAGCUAAAACUGUGAAGUAUUGAUUUUAAGAAACGUGAUCAAAAAAUUGGUCGCGUCUUUUCCAACGUUUUCGAAAAUUAAUUUAGAAGUAUAGAUAAACAUAUCUGCAUUAUUUUAUACUUAGUGCUCAGGCUAUCUAGCUUUUCGGGAUAAAAAUAAAGCCAAAUUAUAUCAUUGCACUAAGCAGGCGGCUUCUGUGAAGUUUGAAGUGGCAACCCAACUUAAUAUUAAUAUUGCCAGUUGCCACAACUUAUAUUCAUUUCUUUUCAAAAAAGUUCUUCCUACUGUUAGGGCAAGAAAUAAAAAAGUAAGUGUAUUUAAACAGACUUUAUACCUCGUGAAGUGCUAUUUGCUAUCGUAACUAGUGUACCAUACUUACGUGUUAGUUAAGUACAUUAUGUAAAGUAAAAAUCCUUUAUACCAAUAUUUUCAAAAUCUGUUGUAACUGUGACUAAUUUAUUAUAAUGAUUAUUUAUUGUAUAUUAACUUGAAAAUAUAUAAAUUGUUAAAAAAAUA